GCCAGAGCUGUCCGUCUUUGCAGAUGGACAGGAGGGAGCCAGAACACAGCUCUGCUCACUUGUACCCACAGAGAGAGAGAAAGAGUUAAGCUGCUGACCCUGAAGGGAGAGCCAGCCAUGCAGCUGUGUGUGGGAGCCGCCGGGCUAAGCAGCCAAGACAAGGCGAACAGUGUGACAGAGCUAGUGUGAGUGAGCUGCUGCUAAGAGAGUUACUGAAUAAAACAACCUUUCACCUGCCUACAGCCCCCGCAGCGUUCUUUCAGCUAUCUGCUCGUCCAUCCACUCGCUUCGGACCUCAGCAUGAGCUGGAACCUGACUCCAAACAGGACAGAGAGUAGUACCAUUGUUCAUUUUCACCACGAGGAUUUCAUCUCAAGAAAACAUUUUCUUUGCUCAUCCAUAAGAAGCAACUCUUCAUCAAUUCAAGUUUUAUGAUGAGAUUGAAGUAUUCAGACACAUCUUCAGGAUAAUUCUAGUUCUCUUGCUAUUUCUACAUCUGCAGGUAUUUCCUCUACUGAAGUUUUGGAUCCCUCAAAGUCACCCAUGAAGGUUGGAAUCAACUUCUUCCAAACUCCUGUUCGUGUUGGUAUUUGACCCCCUCUCAUGAAUCAUGAAUGUUCUUAAUGGAAUUUAGAAUGGUGGAUCCUUUUCAGAAGGUUUUCAAUUUACUUUGCCCAGGUCUAUCAGAGAAAUCACUAUCCAUGACAGCUAUA
rnacentral:lncRNA from 1 species